AGUGAACGCUGGCGGUAGGCCUAACACAUGCAAGUCGAACGGCAGCACAGUAAGAGCUUGCUCUUACGGGUGGCGAGUGGCGGACGGGUGAGGAAUACAUCGGAAUCUACUUUUUCGUGGGGGAUAACGUAGGGAAACUUACGCUAAUACCUCAUACUACCUACGGGUGAAAGCAGGGGAUCUUCGGACCUUGCGCGAUUGAAUGAGCCGAUGUCGGAUUAGCUAGUUGGCGGGGUAAAGGCCCACCAAGGCGACGAUCCGUAGCUGGUCUGUGAGGAUGAUAAGCCACACUGGAACUGAGACACGGUCCAGACUCCUACGGGAGGCAGCAGUGGGGAAUAUUGGACAAAGGGCGCAAGCCUGAUCCAGCCAUACCGCGUGGGUGAAGAAGGCCUUCGGGUUGUAAAGCCCUUUUGUUGGGAAAGAAAAGCAGCAGGUUAAUACCCCGCUGUUCUGACGGUACCCAAAGAAUAAGCACCGGCUAACUUCGUG
rnacentral:rRNA from 1 species